AGUAAAUAGAUACCCUGGUAGUCCACGCCGUAAACGAUGUCGACUUGGAGGUUGUGCCCUUGAGGCGUGGCUUCCGGAGCUAAACGCGUUAAGUCGACCGCCUGGGGAGUACGGCCGCAAGGUUAAACUCAAAUGAAUUGACGGGGGCCCGCACAAGCGGUGGAGCAUGUGGUUUAAUUCGAUGCAACGCGAAGAACCUUACCUACUCUUGACAUCCAGAGAACUUAGCAGAGAUGCUUUGGUGCCUUCGGGAACUCUGAGACAGGUGCUGCAUGGCUGUCGUCAGCUCGUGUUGUGAAAUGUUGGGUUAAGUCCCGCAACGAGCGCAACCCUUAUCCUUUGUUGCCAGCGGUUAGGCCGGGAACUCAAAGGAGACUGCCAGUGAUAAACUGGAGGAAGGUGGGGAUGACGUCAAGUCAUCAUGGCCCUUACGAGUAGGGCUACACACGUGCUACAAUGGCGCAUACAAAGAGAAGCGACCUCGCGAGAGCAAGCGGACCUCAUAAAGUGCGUCGUAGUCCGG
rnacentral:rRNA from 1 species